rnacentral:rRNA from 1 species
GUGGGGAAUUUUGGACAAUGGGCGCAAGCCUGAUCCAGCAAUGCCGCGUGCAGGAAGAAGGCCUUCGGGUUGUAAACUGCUUUUGUACGGAACGAAACGGUCCUGGCUAAUAUCCGGGGCUAAUGACGGUACCGUAAGAAUAAGCACCGGCUAACUACGUGCCAGCAGCCGCGGUAAUACGUAGGGUGCGAGCGUUAAUCGGAAUUACUGGGCGUAAAGCGUGCGCAGGCGGUGCUGUAAGACAGGCGUGAAAUCCCCGGGCUCAACCUGGGAAUUGCGCUUGUGACUGCAGUGCUGGAGUGCGGGAGAGGGGGAUGGAAUUCCGCGUGUAGCAGUGAAAUGCGUAGAUAUGCGGAGGAACACCGAUGGCGAAGGCAAUCCCCUGGGCCUGCACUGACGCUCAUGCACGAAAGCGUGGGGAGCAAACAGGAUUAGAAACCCCAGUAGUCC